AGAGUUUGAUCCUGGCUCAGGACGAACGCUGACGGUGUGCUUUAGACAUGCAAGUCGGACGAGAAAGCCCUUCGGGGUGAGUACAGUGGCGAACGGGUGAGUAACACGUGGGUAAUCUGCCCCUCGCAGGGGGACAACCGGGGGAAACCCCGGCUAAUACCCCGUACGCUUGCGGAGCCGCAUGGCUCGGCAAGGAAAAGGUAGCUUCGGCCAUCCGGCGAGGGAUGAGCCCGCGGUCCAUUAGCUAGUUGGUGGGGUAAAGGCCUACCAAGGCGACGAUGGAUAGCUGGUCUGAGAGGAUGAUCAGCCACACUGGGACUGAGACACGGCCCAGACUCCUACGGGAGGCAGCAGUCGGGAAUCUUGCGCAAUGGGCGAAAGCCUGACGCAGCAACACCGUGUGAGCGACGAAGGCCUUCGGGUCGUAAAGCUCUGUUGUUGGGGACGAAGGGCGAAGGGUUAAUAGCCCCUAGCUUGACGGUACCCUUCGAGGAAGCCCCGGCUAACUACGUGCCAGCAGCCGCGGUAAUACGUAGGGGGCGAGCGUUGUCCGGAAUUAUUGGGCGUAAAGAGCGUGUAGGCGGUUCGGUAAGUCUGCCGUGAAAACCUGGGGCUCAACCCCGGGCGUGCGGUGGAUACUGCCGGGCUAGAGGAUGGUAGAGGCGAGUGGAAUUCCCGGUGUAGCGGUGAAAUGCGCAGAUAUCGGGAGGAACACCAGUAGCGAAGGCGGCUCGCUGGGCCAUUCCUGACGCUGAGACGCGAAAGCUAGGGGAGCAAACAGGAUUAGAUACCCCAGUAGUCC
rnacentral:rRNA from 1 species